AAACGUCUCUUUAGAUUACUCGACCAUAUAUGGGACCCAGCAGGAGGCUAAAAUAAAAGAGCAGAUUAGAUUAAAGGAAAAAAAUAAUAGAAUAGAGGCUUCGAACCACGGAUAGUUGAAUGAUGACAGGGAAGUGAAGCCACUGAACUAGUUCAAGCUAUUACGUUCCAACUAAUACUGAACAAUAUAUAUUUAGUCGGGGGCACGUGCCCCCGUACCUGACAAGGUGCAUCCGCCCCUUGCAAGUUGUCUUGAUAAGACUUACUUCCCCUAAUAUGUUUGCAAAGAGACAGUAACGUGGGAACCUUUUGGAGAGGUUUUAAUUAAUUUAAGAAAAUGGGGGAAUUAAGAGAUAGACCUUUGCAGCUCAGAAUUUGUUUUUUG
rnacentral:lncRNA from 1 species